rnacentral:rRNA from 1 species
GCCCAGACUCCUACGGGAGGCAGCAGUGAGGAAUAUUGGUCAAUGGGCGCAAGCCUGAACCAGCCAAGUCGCGUGAGGGAAGACGGCCCUACGGGUUGUAAACCUCUUUUGCCGGGGAGCAAGCCUGAGCACGUGUGCCCAGGCGGAGAGUACCCGUAGAACAAGCAUCGGCUAACUCCGUGCCAGCAGCCGCGGUAAUACGGAGGAUGCGAGCGUUAUCCGGAUUUAUUGGGUUUAAAGGGUGCGCAGGCGGCACGGCAAGCCGGCGGUCAAAUCGCGGGGCUCAACCCCGCCCAGCCGUCGGAACUGCCGGGCUAGAGUGGGCGAGAAGUGCGCGGAAUGCGUGGUGUAGCGGUGAAAUGCAUAGAUAUCACGCAGAACUCCGAUUGCGAAGGCAGCGUACCGGCGCCCAACUGACGCUGAAGCACGAAGGCGUGGGUAUCGAACAGGAUUAGAUACCCGGGUAA